rnacentral:misc_RNA from 1 species
GCCGAGAGCAUCCCAGCCGAAGCCAACAACAACGGAUCCGACAACAACCACUUCGCAUCCCACACGUCCGCGAGCGCCAUCAUCCCAUCAGCAAGAUCCUGAACGACAGAGAGCUGCUUGAGCAACAACUUCCCCUUCAAUUUCCGCAGCUCCUUCUCAUCCCCGGCUAUCGAUUGCAUCGCCGACCGGAUCCUCCCGAGUUCCCGCG